AACGAACGCUGGCGGCAGGCCUAACACAUGCAAGUCGAACGCUCCGCAAGGGGAGUGGCAGACGGGUGAGUAACGCGUGGGAACCUACCUUUCGGUGCGGAAUAACUUCGGGAAACCAAAGCUAAUACCGCAUACGCCCUACGGGGGAAAGAUUUAUCGCCGAUAGAUGGGCCCGCGUCGAAUUAGCUAGUUGGUGAGGUAAUGGCUCACCAAGGCUACGAUCCGUAGCUGGUCUGAGAGGAUGAUCAGACACACUGGGACUUAGACACGGCCCAGACUCCUACGGGAGGCAGCAGUGGGGAAUAUUGGACAAUGGGCGCAAGCCUGAUCCAGCCAUGCCGCGUGAGUGAAGAAGGCCUUAGGGUUGUAAAGCUCUUUUAGUGGGGACGAUAAUGACGGUACCCACAGAAUAAGCCCCGGCUAACUUCGUGCCAGCCGCCGCAGUAA
rnacentral:rRNA from 1 species